GAAAAGGAGAGAGAAAGAGGGAGAGGACCUCUCCUUGAGCCGCCACCAAACUUCCACGACCGGCGCCAAAUCCGGCAAAACUUUUUACACCAAUCUCUUCCUCUCCUCAUGGGCUUUCUAUUGAUACUAGUUUCAUAAUUUAUUUUCACUUAUGUGCAAUGAAUCGAAGGAGAGAAGAUUUGACAAUUUUUCCAGCUAUUUUUCAAUUUCCGGCCAAACCAUCGAGAAUUUGGAGAAACCCCAAGGUAAUCCGGUUGAGCAAGCUUCUAAGGAUAUUCCCGAGAUGGGACUCACCUAGUCACCCUUUCAUUAGUAUUUAAUUAAGGAGGUAAAUAUGUCAGCGCAUACAUGCAUUACCUGGUCGGCAGUCCCAUCCAGGUAAUAGUCUGGUCGGUAGUACCCUCCAGAAUAUUCCGGUCGGCAGUACCCUCUGAUGCGUCAUCUGGUUGGCAGUACCCUCUAACUAUCUAUGCUUAGUCGGCAGUACCCUCUAACUAUCUAUGCUUAGUCGGCAGUACCCUCUAGCCAUCACCUCCUCGUCCGGUCGGCAGUCCCCUCCGAUGCGUCCUUGAUCAGCAGUCCCCUCCAGUUUGCAGGCUAGAUUAGUUGAGGUCAUGCGUACAUGGAGUUGAGGCAUAGCUGUCACAGCUUCCGCAUUGUAGAAUGUACGAUCCUUUACAUUUCUAUUCCAUCUUCUUGUAUACCUUGUGCAUUAGAUUGCUUUGAUAACCCGUGUGAUUAAUAUUCUUAAGUUGAGAAUUGUUUUGUGAAA